GACUUACGUCAGAUUUAUUUUUGGGGGCUAUGCGAAAGAUCGUUUUUACGCCAGCAAUCCUCAAACUCUUGAGCUACUGAAAAGCCAAUACCCGGGAAGUAUGACCGAGAUAAAGCCCAGUCACUAUGGACGAGUUACAGGACAUUCAACCGAGGGAAACUUAUGUUUGGGUAAUAAGAAGAAAGCUUCCUCAUCAGUUUUACAACCAAAUGUCAACCAAAUUCAUGUCUCAGUAAUGCCGCAUUACUGAAUAAAAAGCCAGAUCAAGUUCGAUAUAGAAACCUCAGAAGAAUAUAGAGAUUUGACACACAUUAAAAAUGAAGAAAAGCAAUAUGGCAUUCUUGAAUGAUGAAUGAAUGAAAACAAACAAGAGAGACCGAUCAGAGUAAUGCUCAAAAAUCUUCAACUAUCCUGUAGCACUGAAGAGCUAUUACAGGAGUUGAAAGAAAAAGGCUUUAAAACAGUCAAUGUUAUAAAUAAACUAAAGAGAAUCACGAGAAACAAUAAGAAUAUAUAAAGUUUCCAUUAUUUUUAGCAACAAAAUACUGAAGACGUCAAAAAGGUAUUUGUAAUACAAUAUCUAGCCAACUCGAAAAGUAUUCCGUUGGUGUAUUGAAUGUGGAUCUAACCAUGGCUCUAACUAUGGGCCUACACAACAUAUCCAGCUGAAAAUACUCAGUUUCAUAAAAAUGGAACGAAAGUCCGAGAAGAUUUAAUUUAUUAGGAAAAAGACUAACAAUAAAACAAUAAAAAAACGGAAAUCGACGUGCAGAUGACUCAUCCAAAGGGACGACCAAGCAAACAACUAUAUCAUCUCGUUAAUUCUGUAGUUAGUUGCCUUCGGGAAGUGGUAAAAGCCUCAAUAUCGCUUGAGUUUUUUUGGAAAACGUCACUAAUUACUCAGUGUGUUACGGGAAGGAAACAAGAUACGUCACCAGUUCUUUUGAUGAUUUGGUGCCAAUAAGGGCAGUGCGCUAGAUCUUCCGUUAUCUGCUAACUGAAAGAUUAAAGUUUUCAAUUCUGA